UAUAACUUAUAAGUUGGCUUUUUUUUCUAGUUUUAUCGUUGAGAAAUCUCACAAAAUGUUUUAUUUUCGUACCAUUAAAGUGGUCAUAAAUCCGGUAUGACUGUUAAUAAACGUCAACAAAUCCUAAAGCGUUGAGAUCCAUUAAAACAUCUGUUACACAAACAAGUGAAAAAAAAGUCUUGUGUAUAUAAAAUAAAGUAGCAUUGAGGUGCUAAUAAAGUCAGUUCGCUGACUGACAAGUUUUUACUUUAUUUACAUUUUGAUUGACUGCUUCUAAUUCAACCGUCAGCAAUUUAUUUUAAGUUGCAAAAGCUAUGUUAAGAAUUCAUCUUUCUCGGGAGUUUGUAAUAUUUUUAUAAAAAAAAAAAAAAAAAGACUUUCCAGAAAAAGAUUCGAGGCUGAGUUCUCCAACCAGUGCAAUACUUGUGUGCACAACGAGACAAGAAAUGCUGAGCAUGCAACGUCAGAUUCUGCAUGACGAAGUAAUAGAAUUCUUUAGGUCCGUACUCUGUAACGACUGGAUAGACCAGUCUGAGAUUACCUCAUAAAUCUGAAAUUUCUUCUUUCUUUGUAUCCAGUUACUACUCUAUCAGCUUAUUUGGAUUUGCUGUUUUUUUUUCUUCCUCUUAUUAGUUGUGCGACAAUAUAAGAUGUUUCAAUCUGAUCAGACACAAAAUAUCGAGUUGAAUAGCGACAUCACUUUAAUGAAUUCGCCGUUCGAGAUUUUUAUUCAAGAAUUUUAUUUCGUAUUUUACAAAACAAAAAAAAAAAAAAAAAACCUUAUCGUCUGUUCUUCCGUCUGCCAUCGAUAUAUUUCGAGAUCCAUUCGUAUUAUCCAAUUAUAUGUCUAUUAUUUUUGAGAAUGUUAAGUGGUCACGUUUCAAAAUGGCGGCGGUUCGAAAUGUUAAAACGACGAUAUCUCUAAAACUGUUUGUCGCACAUUAAUGAUAUUAUAGUCGUUCGAAAGAAUUUUAGAUAUAGUUUACUGCGACAUUAUGAAAUUACUUUGUCCGUACGUGUGUCAGGCCGUUCUCAAAAUACCUCAUAAACAAUGCAUGAAAGAGCAUUCAAAUUGUUUUACACAAUGGUUUCUUUUCAUCCAUACUAUAUGCCAACUAAUUUAGAGUAUCCAUAAUAAUCUCCUACAAAAUAGCGAUUGUUCGAAAUUUUAAAAUUCUAUAACUUUAAAACUAUUACCAC
rnacentral:lncRNA from 1 species